AUAACUUACGGGAAACCGGAGCUAAUACCGGAUAAUAUUUCGAACCGCAUGGUUCGAUAGUGAAAGAUGGUUUUGCUAUCACUUAUAGAUGGACCUGCGCCGUAUUAGCUAGUUUGUAAGGUAACGGCUUACCAAGGCGACGAUACGUAGCCGACCUGAGAGGGUGAUCGGCCACACUGGAACUGAGACACGGUCCAGACUCCUACGGGAGGCAGCAGAC
rnacentral:rRNA from 1 species